GACAGUGUGGUGUAGUGGUUUGAACGUUGGCCUAUGACUCUAGAAACCAGGGUUUGAAUGCCAGCUUGGCCA